UACGUAGGCAGCAAGCGUUGUUCGGAGUUACUGGGCGUAAAGGGUGCGUAGGCGGCUUUUUAAGUUUGGUGUGAAAUCUCCCGGCUCAACCGGGAGGGUGCGCCGAAUACUGAGAGGCUAGAGUGUGGGAGAGGAAAGUGGAAUUCCUGGUGUAGCAGUGAAAUGCGUAGAUAUCAGGAGGAAUACCGAUGGCGAAGGCAGGUCUCUGGGCUGACACUGACGCUCAUGCACGAAAGCGUGGGGAGCAAACAGG
rnacentral:rRNA from 1 species